GAGGUCGCACCUACGAUACUAAAAUUGGAAUGAUACAGGGAAGAUGAACAUGGCUCCUGCAGAAGAGUGACCCGUUUGCCAAGUGUUCCAUAAAAAAUAAAU